rnacentral:rRNA from 1 species
GAUGAACGCUGGCGGCGUGCCUAAUACAUGCAAGUCGAGCGAACGGACGAGAAGCUUGCUUUUCUGAUGUUAGCGGCGGACGGGUGAGUAACACGUGGAUAACCUACCUAUAAGACUGGGAUAACUUCGGGAAACCGGAGCUAAUACCGGAUAAUAUUUUGAACCGCAUGGUUCAAAAGUGAAAGACGGUCUUGCUGUCACUUAUAGAUGGAUCCGCGCUGCAUUAGCUAGUUGGUAAGGUAACGGCUUACCAAGGCAACGAUGCAUAGCCGACCUGAGAGGGUGAUCGGCCACACUGGAACUGAGACACGGUCCAGACUCCUACGGGAGGCAGCAGUAGGGAAUCUUCCGCAAUGGGCGAAAGCCUGACGGGGCAACGCCGCGUGAGUGAUGAAGGUCUUCGGAUCGUAAAACUCUGUUAUUAGGGAAGAACAUAUGUGUAAGUAACUGUGCACAUCUUGACGGUACCUAAUCAGAAAGCCACGGCUAACUACGUG